rnacentral:rRNA from 1 species
CUUGCUUGGGGUACUCGAGUGGCGAACGGGUGAGUAAUACGUGGGUAACCUGCCCUCUUCUUUGGGAUAAGCCCCGGAAACGGGGUCUAAUACCGGAUAUUCUGCUUCUGCCGCAUGGUGGGGGUUGGAAAGGUUUUUCGGUGGGGGAUGGGCCCGCGGCCUAUCAGCUUGUUGGUGGGGUGAUGGCCUACCAAGGCUUCGACGGGUAGCCGGCCUGAGAGGGUGACCGGCCACAUUGGGACUGAGAUACGGCCCAGACUCCUACGGGAGGCAGCAGCG